GAUCAUGCUCAGGAUGAACGCUAGCGACAGGCUAACACAUGCAAGUCGAGGGCGAUCACGGGAGUAGCAAUACAACUGGUGGCGACCGGCGCACGGGUGAGUAACGCGUAUGCAACCUACCUAUCAGAGGGGAAUAACCCGGCGAAAGUCGGACUAAUACCGCAUAAAACAGGGGCACCGCAUGGUGAUAUUUGUUAAAGAAAUUCGCUGAUAGAUGGGCAUGCGUUCCAUUAGGUAGUUGGUGAGGUAACGGCUCACCAAGCCGACGAUGGAUAGGGGAACUGAGAGGUUGGUCCCCCACACUGGUACUGAGACACGGACCAGACUCCUACGGGAGGCAGCAGUGAGGAAUAUUGGUCAAUGGGCGGGAGCCUGAACCAGCCAAGUCGCGUGAAGGAAGAAGGAUCUAUGGUUCGUAAACUUCUUUUGCAGGGGAAUAAAGUGCAGGACGUGUCCUGUUUUGUAUGUACCCUGAGAAUAAGGAUCGGCUAACUCCGUGCCAGCCGCCGC
rnacentral:rRNA from 1 species